CUUCCGCCGGCGACCGGCGCACGGGUGAGUAACACGUAUGCAACCUGCCCCUGUCAGGGGGACAACCCGCCGAAAGGCGGGNUAAACCCGCGUACAUGCCACCGGGGCAUCCCGGAGGCAGGAAAGGCUUCGGCCGGACAGGGAUGGGCAUGCGGCGCAUUAGGCAGUAGGCGGGGUAACGGCCCACCUAACCGACGAUGCGUAGGGGUUCUGAGAGGAAGGUCCCCCACACUGGUACUGAGACACGGACCAGACUCCUACGGGAGGCAGCAG
rnacentral:rRNA from 1 species